AGCAGCCGCGGUAAUUCCAGCUCCAAUAGCGUAUAUUAAAGUUGUUGCAGUUAAAAAGCUCGUAGUUGAAUUUCGGGAUUUGUCAGUUGGUCGGGCUUCACUGUCCGUAUUGACUUGAUGGAUUCUUACCUUCUGAAUAACCAGCAUGCUAUUAAGUUAGUGCGUUGGGGAAGCAGAUCUAUUACCUUGAGAAAAUUAGAGUGCUUAAAGCGAGCUAGUGCUUGAAUAGAUUAGCAUGGAAUAAUAAAAUAGGACGGCAUGGUUCUAUUUUGUUGGUUUCUAGGAUCACCGUAAUGAUUAAUAGGGAUAGUUGGGGGCAUUAGUAUUCAAUUGUCAGAGGUGAAAUUCUUGGAUUUAUUGAAGACUAACUUCUGCGAAAGCAUUUGCCAAGGAUGUUUUCAUUAAUCAAGAACGAAAGUUAGGGGAUCGAAGACGAUCAGAUACCGUCGU
rnacentral:rRNA from 1 species